CUGCAUCCACUGAUAUACCUUGAACAGUUUGUGGUUGUUCUUCUGGUUUGCACUAGGAUGCAAAAGAAAAUGCUCUCUGCACUUCCUGCCUGUCUUUGUGGCAGUCCAGAUUGAAUUGGGGAGUACAUGU
rnacentral:snoRNA from 1 species